AUUGAACGCUGGCGGCAGGCCUAACACAUGCAAGUCGAACGAGUGGCGGACGGGUGAGGAAUGUCUGGGAAACUGCCUGCUGGAUGGGGAUAACUAAUGGAAACGGUAGCUAAUACCGCAUCCCAUCGGAUGUGCCCAGAUGGGAUUAGCGAGUAGGUGGGGUAAAGGCUCACCUAGGCGACGAUCCCUAGCUGGUCUGAGCGGAUGACCAGCCACACUGGAACUGAGACACGGUCCAGACUCCUACGGUAGGAAGCAGUGGGGAAUAUGCGACAAUGGGCGCAAGCCUGAUGCAGCCAUGCCGCGUGUAGGAAGAGGACCUUCGGGUUUUAAAGUACUUUCAGCGGGGAGGCGUUACCCGCAGAAGAAGCACCGGCUAACUCCGUGCCAGCAGCCGCGGUAAUAC
rnacentral:rRNA from 1 species